rnacentral:rRNA from 1 species
UACGUAGGGCGCAAGCGUUGUCCGGAAUUAUUGGGCGUAAAGAGCUCGUAGGCGGUCUGUCGCGUCGGCUGUGAAAACCCGGGGCUCAACCCCGGGCCUGCAGUCGAUACGGGCAGACUAGAGUGCGGUAGGGGAGACUGGAAUUCCUGGUGUAGCGGUGAAAUGCGCAGAUAUCAGGAGGAACACCGGUGGCGAAGGCGGGUCUCUGGGCCGUAACUGACGCUGAGGAGCGAAAGCGUGGGGAGCAAACAGG